rnacentral:rRNA from 1 species
GACGAACGCUGGCGGCGCGCUUAACACAUGCAAGUCGAACGGAAAGGCCUGCUUUCCCUUGUGGAUUGCGGGUACUCGAGUGGCGAACGGGUGAGUAACACGUGAGUGAUCUGCCCCCAACUUGGGUAUAAGCCUGGGAAACUGGGUCUAAUUCCCGAUAGGACUGCAGGGUGGUGCCUGUGGUGGAAAACGAUUUUCUAGUGGUUGGGGAUGAGCUCGCGGCCCAUCAGCUUGUUGGUGGGGUAAUGGCCUACCAAGGCGGCGACGGGUAGCCGGCCUGAGAGGGUGGACGGCGACAUUGGGACUGAGAUACGGCCCAGACUCCUACGGGAGGCAGCAGUGGGGAAUAUUGCACAAUGGGCGGAAGCCUGAUGCAGCGACGCCGCGUGGGGGAUGACGGCCUUCGGGUUGUAAACUCCUUUCGACCGCGAGGAAGCCACCUGGUUGGAAGGGUGGUGACGGUAGUGGUAGAAGAAGCACCGGCUAACUACGUG